UGAAAGGCCAGCUGCCAGAAGCUUCUCACUCCGUGGAGACCUUGGAGUCGAGGAUGAAAUGUCUUACAACUGUGGGGAGACCUUGGCUUUUCCAAAGCCUACCAGGGUCCAGGACUUGGAAGCUAAGGCCCAGAGAGGAGGAGAAACUUGAUCAAAGUCAAUCAGACAAUGCAGAAUCGAGAAAAGUACCUGGACCUCUAUGCCCAUGCUUCUAGCAGCCAGCCUCCUAAAAUACCUCUAGUUGAAGCCAAAGUUAGAAUCCUUCUACGAAACUACAGGAUUAAAAUGGAAUGGUUACAUGACCCAGGCUUGACCAAUCAGAUCAUCCAAACCCUUUGCCACAGUGAUUGGUCCAGGGAUACAUGCAUGAGCCAGCUCAGGUAAAUGAGACUCAAUUAUAAGAAUUUUGUUAGCGCAAUUGGGAAAAAGAAGUUUUCUUUCCAUGAGAACUAUCAGCUAUAAGAAUGUUGGAUGCUUCCAUCUGCUGGAGUCCAUGAAGAAGGUCCAUGAAAAUGAAGCCAGCACAACAACACAGAGCUAAGACAUACAAAGAGAUGGAGAUUAAAUUGAAUGGAACUUUUAAGCCCCUACAUGCCCUUGAAGCCAGAUAUCCCUGAACUUU
rnacentral:lncRNA from 1 species